rnacentral:lncRNA from 1 species
CUUCGAAACUCUUUGAAAUUUCAUCUAUAUACACACAAGACAACACACACCUAGCAUAAUGAACAACAAACACCAGGAUGUUAUAUCCAAGUCACAGCACAUUGUUAAUCAUAAUCAUAAGCCUUUCAUUAAUUAUAGCAAAUUACUAAGUCUCAACUCAGCAAAUAAACAUGAACAUAAUAAAGUCUCAACACAAUUUUAAUAAAAAAACUCAGCAAGCAAAACAAAACACUAGUUCAACAUAAAGAUUUUCAGAGCUAACUAUUACAGAUCCAGCACUUCUUCAUUGAAUUGUGCGCCAAAACAUUGAGAUAGUUACGCUUCUAUCGGAGUCUUCUUGCUUCUCUCUCGGACUCAAGGAGGGUAAGGAUGUCUCCCUCCCUAACUGGUCCCUUGACAUUCCUCAUGAUGUGACGGUUCUGAUCGUCCAAAAACUUCACUCUAACCUGAGUGACUUGUCCUCUGGAUCCCGUACGACCCAUAACUUUCACAACCACAGCAUGCUUAAUCUGUGAUUCCAUCCUGCUCAAACACACACAUUCACAAUUGUUAAAAGGAGAGCAAGGAAAGAAGCAUCAGAUAUAAGAUCUGUUUGUUUAAGUCAAGUGCUUAUCAAAUACAACAAAAGCAGAAGCCACUGAAAAUCACUUUGUUAUCUGUCUAUUAUCUCCCACACAUUUAAAAAUCAUAGUUUGAAUAAUUCUACAAAACACAAAUAUAAGCAAUCAAAAAGAUUGUUUGGUUAAAAUCAAAGAGGAAGCUACUGAAAUCAGUUUCUCAUUUUUCAGAUGCUACAUAUUAACAUAUACAUUCAUUUUUCAGAAGCUGCUGAAAUCAGCUUUUCAUUUUAUUUAGAUUCAGAUGAAUAGAAAAAGCUUAACCAAACACAAUUAAAAGCAAUUAAAAUGAUUUUCAAGUUAAAAAAGUUAUUUCCAAGUUCUGUUUGCUUAUGAUUACGAUUAAUAUUUAAAUAGACUAAACAACAAACGAAGCUGAAGCUGAAGCUGGUUUGUGUAUGUAUAAGAUAACAGUCAAAAUCAUUGUCUUUGUCUUCUUUCUUAUCUUUCACACAUUUUAAAAUCAGAUCUUUUCAGAAACUACUAAAAUCAGUUUCUCAAUCGAAUAAGAAAAUUGUUUUUUAGUAUCUGAUAUUCCAAAAAUAUAAGUAUGUCUAUAACAGUGAAAAUUCUCAUCUUACACACUAUAAAAUCAGAUUUUUUUUCAGAAGCUACUAAAAUAAACUUCACAUUAUAAUCAAUAAAAAAAAUUCUGAUUAAUUAGAAAAGCUUAAACAAGCACAAUUAACACAACCCAAAAUGACUUUUCUAUUUAACAAUUAGCAAAAUAAAAACACGAUUAAGCAUUAAAAUAAGUAUUUACCAACAUAAAUCAACCAUUAAAAAAUCAAAAUAAAAAAAAAAUUAAGAUUGCGAAGAUUUUAGCUAAAAGUAUAGAUGAAUAAGGAAUUGAAGAGAGAGAAACGAACUUGAAGCUGGUUCCUAAGAAGAAAAAUGAUGAAUCGGCGUUGGAGAAUUGAUUGCGAUGAAACCCUG